UCAAGAAGAGUUUUAUAGAAUACUAACUUUGGGAGUUAGAGGAUGGCAGAAUGCCAUUUUUGAA
rnacentral:tRNA from 1 species